AAAGUUUUGGCGCCUGUCACUCGCCAGGAUUGUGCGUGCCAACUAGGCCGCAACCUUGUCAGCUAUGCAGGCGGCAUGUGCUGAGGGAAUAUGCUGAAGUCGAAGAUGAGGCAAAGGGGCAUAACAUGAGGAAACAAGCAUCUAUAUGUUGCAUGACAUGUCCUAAGAGUGCCAAUGUGAUUUGGAGAGGGCUUGGUGUGAGCCCAAGGGGGGCGGAGGCAUGGUGAGGAUCGUGUGCGGUGUUCGAUGUCAGCGCCGUGCCAUUUUGAGCUACAAGUGGAAUCUAAGGAUUCCGGUUUAGAGAGUUGAUAUUGAUGGUACCUUAUGUAUGCUUACCAAAUUUGGGGUCAUUUGGAGUCCGUUUGGAUAGGGGCUUGACUUGGCCAAAGUCCAGUGGCAUUGUCGUAAUUUGCUGAUUGGUCCGAAGGCCAUAACUCAUUCCAUGUGUAUGGGAAUGGGGUGAAACUUCAUGGAGGUGUGAAGGAAGUCAAGAGAAAGGAGUAGGAACAAACGGCACCCAAUUUGAAGGUCGGAUGAAUGAUCUAAGCCCCAGUAUGAUUCUCGGGCAAAAUGAUGUCUAGUGGCAGACAUUGGGAUUAUUUAUUUUAAGCAUAUAUAAGGGGGGUAUGAAUGGUGACAGCCUACCAGCCUCCCCCGGGUGUGUCGACAGAUGGCCACCCCAAGUGUGCUGCCUUGAGGGACAACCUCAAGGGCCUGCCUUGGCAUGUCAAAGGAAUGCGCAAGGUACUCAUAGGGCUCGGGAACCCUAUGGGCAACGCAAGGUCGGGUGGACUAGCG
rnacentral:lncRNA from 1 species